CAGGGCUAAAAAUCGGUCAGUGUGUAAA
rnacentral:piRNA from 1 species